rnacentral:rRNA from 1 species
UUAAGCGACUAAGCGUACACGGUGGAUGCCCUGGCAGUCAGAGGCGAUGAAGGACGUGCUAAUCUGCGAAAAGCGCCGGCGAGGUGAUAUGAACCUUUGACCCGGCGAUGUCCGAAUGGGGAAACCCAGUGUGUUCCGACACACUAUCGUUAACUGAAUACAUAGGUUAACGAGGCGAACCGGGGGAACUGAAACAUCUAAGUACCCCGAGGAAAAGAAAUCAACCGAGAUUCCCCCAGUAGCGGCGAGCGAACGGGGAGCAGCCCGGAGUCUGAAUCAGCUUGUGUGUUAGUGGAACGGUCUGGAAAGUCCGACGGUACAGGGUGAUAGUCCCGUACACGAAAGCACACAGGUUGUGAACUCGAAGAGUAGGGCGGGACACGUGGUAUCCUGUCUGAAUAUGGGGGGACCAUCCUCCAAGGCUAAAUACUCCUGACUGACCGAUAGUGAACCAGUACCGUGAGGGAAAGGCGAAAAGAACCCCGGCGAGGGGAGUGAAAAAGAACCUGAAACCGUGUACGUACAAGCAGUGGGAGCCUACUUGUUAGGUGACUGCGUACCUUUUGUAUAAUGGGUCAGCGACUUAUAUUCUGUAGCAAGGUUAACCGUAUAGGGGAGCCGAAGGGAAACCGAGUCUUAACUGGGCGUUAAGUUGCAGGGUAUAGACCCGAAACCCGGUGAUCUAGCCAUGGGCAGGUUGAAGGUUGGGUAACACUAACUGGAGGACCGAACCGACUAAUGUUGAAAAAUUAGCGGAUGACCUGUGGCUGGGGGUGAAAGGCCAAUCAAACCGGGAGAUAGCUGGUUCUCCCCGAAAGCUAUUUAGGUAGCGCCUCGUGAACUCAUCUUCGGGGGUAGAGCACUGUUUCGGCUAGGGGGCCAUCCCGGCUUACCAACCCGAUGCAAACUACGAAUACCGAAGAAUGUUAUCACGGGAGACACACGGCGGGUGCUAACGUCCGUCGUGAAGAGGGAAACAACCCAGACCGCCAGCUAAGGUCCCAAAGUCAUGGUUAAGUGGGAAACGAUGUGGGAAGGCACAGACAGCCAGGAUGUUGGCUUAGAAGCAGCCAUCAUUUAAAGAAAGCGUAAUAGCUCACUGGUCGAGUCGGCCUGCGCGGAAGAUGUAACGGGGCUAAACCAUGCACCGAAGCUGCGGCAGCGACGCUUAUGCGUUGUUGGGUAGGGGAGCGUUCUGUAAGCCGUUGAAGGUGGCCUGUGAGGGUUGCUGGAGGUAUCAGAAGUGCGAAUGCUGACAUAAGUAACGAUAAAGCGGGUGAAAAGCCCGCUCGCCGGAAGACCAAGGGUUCCUGUCCAACGUUAAUCGGGGCAGGGUGAGUCGACCCCUAAGGCGAGGCCGAAAGGCGUAGUCGAUGGGAAACAGGUUAAUAUUCCUGUACUUGGUGUUACUGCGAAGGGGGGACGGAGAAGGCUAUGUUAGCCGGGCGACGGUUGUCCCGGUUUAAGCAUGUAGGCGGAGGUUCCAGGUAAAUCCGGUACCUUUUAACGCUGAGGUGUGAUGACGAGGCACUACGGUGCUGAAGUAACAAAUGCCCUGCUUCCAGGAAAAGCCUCUAAGCAUCAGGUAACACGAAAUCGUACCCCAAACCGACACAGGUGGUCAGGUAGAGAAUACCAAGGCGCUUGAGAGAACUCGGGUGAAGGAACUAGGCAAAAUGGUGCCGUAACUUCGGGAGAAGGCACGCUGAUAUGUAGGUGAAGCCCCUGCGGGUGGAGCUGAAAUCAGUCGAAGAUACCAGCUGGCUGCAACUGUUUAUUAAAAACACAGCACUGUGCAAACACGAAAGUGGACGUAUACGGUGUGACGCCUGCCCGGUGCCGGAAGGUUAAUUGAUGGGGUUAGCGGUAACGCGAAGCUCUUGAUCGAAGCCCCGGUAAACGGCGGCCGUAACUAUAACGGUCCUAAGGUAGCGAAAUUCCUUGUCGGGUAAGUUCCGACCUGCACGAAUGGCGUAAUGAUGGCCAGGCUGUCUCCACCCGAGACUCAGUGAAAUUGAACUCGCUGUGAAGAUGCAGUGUACCCGCGGCAAGACGGAAAGACCCCGUGAACCUUUACUAUAGCUUGACACUGAACACUGGUCCUUGAUGUGUAGGAUAGGUGGGAGGCUUUGAAGCGUGGACGCCAGUCUGCGUGGAGCCGACCUUGAAAUACCACCCUUUAAUGGCUGGUGUUCUAACGUAGACCCGUAAUCCGGGUUGCGGACAGUGUCUGGUGGGUAGUUUGACUGGGGCGGUCUCCUCCCAAAGAGUAACGGAGGAGCACGAAGGUUAGCUAAUCCUGGUCGGACAUCAGGAGGUUAGUGCAAUGGCAUAAGCUAGCUUGACUGCGAGAGUGACGGCUCGAGCAGGUGCGAAAGCAGGUCAUAGUGAUCCGGUGGUUCUGAAUGGAAGGGCCAUCGCUCAACGGAUAAAAGGUACUCCGGGGAUAACAGGCUGAUACCGCCCAAGAGUUCAUAUCGACGGCGGUGUUUGGCACCUCGAUGUCGGCUCAUCACAUCCUGGGGCUGAAGUAGGUCCCAAGGGUAUGGCUGUUCGCCAUUUAAAGUGGUACGCGAGCUGGGUUUAGAACGUCGUGAGACAGUUCGGUCCCUAUCUGCCGUGGGCGCUGGAGAAUUGAGGGGGGCUGCUCCUAGUACGAGAGGACCGGAGUGGACGCAUCACUGGUGUUCGGGUUGUCAUGCCAAUGGCACUGCCCGGUAGCUAAAUGCGGAAGAGAUAAGUGCUGAAAGCAUCUAAGCACGAAACUUGCCCCGAGAUGAGUUCUCCCUGAGACUAUAAGUCUCCUGAAGGAACGUUGAAGACGACGACGUUGAUAGGUCGGGUGUGUAAGCGCAGCGAUGCGUUGAGCUAACCGAUACUAAUGAACCGUGAGGCUUAACCU